UCUUAAUUUUAAACUAGAUUAUGCAUGGUAGUUUUGCGAGAAAUUAACCCAGCUAAAAAUAUUAAACAAUAAUAGAAAUAUUAAUUUAAUUAAUGUUUAUCUAUGAGGCAAAUUAGGUGCCAGCAGCCGCGGUCAUACCUGAUCAUAAAAUUAAGAAAAUUAGGCUAGGCUUUAGUAAAAAAUAAUUAAUAUUCAAGUGAAAUAGAAAUUAAUUAGAGUACUACUUUACUAUUUUACAGCCGAAACUCAUUUUAUAAACUAGGAUUAGAUACCCUACUAUAAAGAGUAAAAAACAUGUCCUAAGCACUAAGACUAAAGAGUUAAAACUUAAAAAGUAUGGCGGCGGCUUUAAAUUUUAGGGGAACUUACCAGGUAAUUGAUAACCCACAAAAUACAGAACUUAAUUUAAGAGCUUACAUACCGCCGUCUCCAGAAUGUAUUUAAGAUAUUUUCAAAUCUCAUUAGAGAAAAGACAGGCCAUGGUGUAGCCAAUAAUGAAGACUUAAGGUGAGUUACAAUAUUAUAUAUUUUCGGAAUUUGAUUGAAAACUUAAAAGAAGAUGGACCUAAAAGUAAAAAACAAAGAAGUACUAUUUGAAUUUUCAAAAAAGUCGUGCACAAAUCGCCCGUCACUCUCGUUGAAAAAGGAGAUAAGUCGUAACACAGUAGAGGUAACGGAAGUUGUCUCUG
rnacentral:ncRNA from 1 species